rnacentral:rRNA from 1 species
AUUGAACGCUGGCGGAAUGCUUUACACAUGCCAGUCGAACGGUAGAGGGGGCAACCCCUCGAGAGUGGCGAACGGGUGAGUAAUAUAUCGGAACGCGCCCAGUCGUGGGGGAUAACGUAGCGAAAGUUACGCUAAUACCGCAUACGAUCUAAGGAUGAAAGCGGGGGAUCGCAAGACCUCGCGCGAUUGGAGCGGCCGAUAUCAGAUUAGGUAGUUGGUGGGGUAAAGGCUCACCAAGCCAACGAUCUGUAGCUGGUCUGAGAGGACGACCAGCCACACUGGAACUGAGACACGGUCCAGACUCCUACGGGAGGCAGCAGUGGGGAAUUUUGGACAAUGGACGCAAGUCUGAUCCAGCCAUUCCGCGUGCAGGAUGAAGGCCCUCGGGUUGUAAACUGCUUUUGUACGGAACGAAAAGGUCUCUCUUAAUACGGGGGACUCAUGACGGUACCGUAAGAAUAAGCACCGGCUAACUACGUGCCAGCCGCCGCCGUAA